AUAACAUAAGAUUUCUUUGAGUAGUUUUCUCCUAUAUUUGAUAGAGAGAAGUGUGUUCUCAUUUUGUCAAGAGAGAGUGUUAUUGUAGUCUCCUUGUGAUAGAGAGAAGUUGUAAUUCUCAAAGAAAAUUAUUCAAUUAUUUCCAUAUUUUAUACAAAUUUCUAAUUUUUCAUCUCUAUAUUUUGCUGUGUCAUUUGUCUGGUACCUAACAACCACAUACCCAUUUUGUCUCAUAAACAGAUUGAUAUGCUUUUGGAGUGGCACACCUUUGUUAGCUUUCAUACUCUGAACUUCCCUUUGAUUGCAGAAAAUGUCUGGCCUAUUGUUUGCAGUUCUUGGCAAUGGCAUAUGGCUAACUCUUUAUUGCUCUGGCUCUUUGGGGCAUUCUUCGAUUGUGCUUCUUUUAUGUAGUAUAUAUCAGCAUUCUUCCAUUUCUUUGUUUAUAAUUUACAAUUGCAAGUUAUAUCAUUUUCUAGAUAUCUUCCCAGUUUUCAGCUUCUAUAUUAGUUAUUUGCUGAUGAAUUACAGAUUAGGAUGCUUUUUACUCCCUGAUAACUGAAACACUAACGGAUAUUAUUAAUCAUACAUUCAUAUGUACUUUACAUUGUGUAUAUAUUUCGUUGUAUUCACUGGCUGAAAGUUUAAUAAGCAAUGCUUGACUCCUGAGGGAGUCUGAAUAUACUUGUGAGAAAAAUAUAUUUUAUUUCUUGUUCUCUGUGCUUAGCUUUUAACAUACAUUUGUUUACGCACUAAAAGAUGCAAGGGAUGCUACAAAUUGUCAUUCGAUUCAGGUGUUCUUAAUUUUAUAGCUCAUAUGUUCUUUAGGGCGAAAAAAAAUGGAAACCUCAAUAUUUCUAUGUUACAAUAUCACUGAUUUCCCACAACUUUUUCUUGAUAAAAAAAAUAUGCUAGCUAACUUGUCUGGCAAACCAUGAAAGUUAGUGGAAACUCACCCUGCUUGUUCUGCUUAGUUUAAAGUAUAAGAAUUUUAAUUAGUUUCUUUGUCAUACCAUAGGUCUGUAUUGUGUGUAAUGGUCCCAUUAGAUAUGGGAGAGAGUGUUUCCCAUUAGAUGCAUGGAAAAGAGGGAGGAAGAAUAUUUCAGCAACAUAUAUCUGCUAUGCUAGUGCAUUCCGCAUUUGUCUCGCAAAGAAAGAAACAGAUUGCAUGGGGUGAUGCUAUCAUAUAGAAAAAGGAGAUUGGAGCAGCAAGUUCAACUUGGAAAAAGAGAGACUGAGCUAACAAUCAUAUUUUACACAAUUUAUGAGGAUUCAUGUGCAUUUUCUCAUUGCUGAUUUUGGUUUUUUGUGAAUCUUGCUUGUUAGUGUGUGCUAGUGAGAACUUAUGCUUGUGAAAAUUGUUCUUGGCAUGCAUCUGUGUGAGAGUUUGUGAGGAAUUUUUUGUAAUAGAAAAAGGCUGUGCGUGUUGAGUGAAAAUACUAAGACCAAAAGAAAAGUCAUUGUUAAUGUCCCUGCUUUUUGAUUCUUGGAAUUGUCAUUGCUUGAUGAAUUUGUAACUUGGAUAUUGAUAAUAGUUGAAAAAUCUCACCACAAAUUGUGAUUGGGACCAGAUGUAGGAUUCAUUUUGGAGCUGAACCAGAAUAAAUGACUUGGGCAAUCUUC